UUAAAUUGAAGAGUUUGAUCAUGGCUCAGAUUGAACGCUGGCGGCAGGCCUAACACAUGCAAGUCGAACGGUAACAGGAAGAAGCUUGCUGCUUCGCUGACGAGUGGCGGACGGGUGAGUAAUGUCUGGGAAACUGCCUGAUGGAGGGGGAUAACUACUGGAAACGGUAGCUAAUACCGCAUAACGUCGCAAGACCAAAGAGGGGGACCUUCGGGCCUCUUGCCAUCGGAUGUGCCCAGAUGGGAUUAGCUAGUAGGUGGGGUAACGGCUCACCUAGGCGACGAUCCCUAGCUGGUCUGAGAGGAUGACCAGCCACACUGGAACUGAGACACGGUCCAGACUCCUACGGGAGGCAGCA
rnacentral:rRNA from 1 species